ACUUUCUAUUUAUGUUUUGAAUAUGAGAGAAAAGUGUACCAAGGGGGAAAAACUAAAAGAGAGAUUAAUGGCGGAUGUCACUAGUGACUGGCAGAAGCAAUGGGUGAAAUGAGAUGACCAAAGACUAUCAGCAAUGACCACUGGAUAUCAAGUACCAAUGCAACUACCACAUAGGUUCAUUCCCUUCUUUUAAAUUUGUGACAAAGUGACUUCUCAAUUUGAGUAUUAGAAGUUUUUUUACCAAGAAAACAGGUUUCAGCCCCAUUUUCUCCUCGACUUCCCUAAUAUACCAAAAAAUGUAAAAA
rnacentral:misc_RNA from 1 species